CACUCCAGGGAACAAGAGUUACAAGUGAGGAAAACAUUAUUAUGCAGAAGAAAUUCCCCAAAUUGUGCUACAAAAGCUUCAGUCAGUUCACUCUGAGCUGAGACUCAACAUUUGGAGUUGUCCUAAAUUGAAACAAGGGGCCAGGUCUUUGUAUAUAAACUCCUUGACCACUCAGUGCAGAAAGGCUACGCCCAGCCAGGGGCUACCAAGGGCCAGGCAGCUUCCUUUAUUGGAGGACAAUUUACAGAAAGGGAUAGCCCUGAGCCUAAUGCAGCCAACACUCCUAGCAGCUUGGGGAUUGAGGACCACAUCUUGAAAGGUGUAUCACACGACCUGCUACAUUUGGCCACUAGGGGCGCUGGAGCGCAGUGCAGCAGAGAACACAGGUCCCGGACUAAGGGAAAGACACAAUGAUGAAUCAAAUACAGUUCCUGUUUUCAAAAGCCUCAGGUUUAACUGUGAAGAUAAAUAAUUGAGCAGAUAGAAAAUUGAAAUACAAGAUUUGCUACCCAAUGAAUUCAGACAUGCUUCAUAUAAUAGCCAAGCAAUGAUAUUCUCCUCUCUUUGUAAGCUCCCUGCCCAGAAUUACAGCUUCAGUAACAAACUGACUGGGUAA